UACGUAGGGGGCAAGCGUUGUCCGGAAUCAUUGGGCGUAAAGCGCGUGUAGGCGGCCCGAUAAGUCCGCUGUGAAAGUCCAGGGCUCAACCCUGGGAUGCCGGUGGAUACUGUCGGGCUCGAGUCCGGAAGAGGAGAGUGGAAUUCCUGGUGUAGCGGUGAAAUGCGCAGAUAUCAGGAAGAACACCCGUGGCGAAGGCGGCUCUCUGGGACGGUACUGACGCUGAGACGCGAAAGCGUGGGGAGCGAACAGG
rnacentral:rRNA from 1 species